rnacentral:rRNA from 1 species
AGCGCAGGCGGGAAGGCAAGUUGGAAGUGAAAUCCAUGGGCUCAACCCAUGAACUGCUUUCAAAACUGUUUUUCUUGAGUAGUGCAGAGGUAGGCGGAAUUCCCGGUGUAGCGGUGGAAUGCGUAGAUAUCGGGAGGAACACCAGUGGCGAAGGCGGCCUACUGGGCACCAACUGACGCUGAGGCUCGAAAGUGUGGUAGCAAACA